rnacentral:rRNA from 1 species
AUUGAACGCUGGCGGCAGGCUUAACACAUGCAAGUCGAGCGGAGAUGAGGUGCUUGCACCUUAUCUUAGCGGCGGACGGGUGAGUAAUGCUUAGGAAUCUGCCUAUUAGUGGGGGACAACAUUCCGAAAGGAAUGCUAAUACCGCAUACGUCCUACGGGAGAAAGCAGGGGAUCUUCGGACCUUGCGCUAAUAGAUGAGCCUAAGUCGGAUUAGCUAGUUGGUGGGGUAAAGGCCUACCAAGGCGACGAUCUGUAGCGGGUCUGGGAGGAUGAUCCGCCAAACUGGGACUGAGACACGGCCCAGACGCCUACGGGAGGCAGCAGUGGGGAAUAUUGGACAAUGGGGGGAACCCUGAUCCAGCCAUGCCGCGUGUGUGAAGAAGGCCUUAUGGUUGUAAAGCACUUUAAGCGAGGAGGAGGCUACUGAGACUAAUACUCUUGGAUAGUGGACGUUACUCGCAGAAUAAGCACCGGCUAACUCUGUGCCAGCCGCCGCAGUAAGAC